GGUGGCCUAGUAGUUAGAGCGUCCAACUCGGAUUCGAGAGGUCGCGGGUUUGAACCCCAUCUGAGUCA